rnacentral:rRNA from 1 species
CCUACGGGUGGCAGCAGUGAGGAAUAUUGGUCAAUGGGCGGAAGCCUGAACCAGCCAAGUCGCGUGCAGGAUGACGGCCCUACGGGUUGUAAACUGCUUUUGUACGGGAAUAACGCGCCUUACGUGUAGGGCUUUGCAUGUACCGGAUGAAAAAGGACCGGCUAAUUCCGUGCCAGCAGCCGCGGUAAUACGGAAGGUCCGGGCGUUAUCCGGAUUUAUUGGGUUUAAAGGGUGCGUAGGCCGCAUGUCAAGCGCGCUGUUAAAUUUCCGGGCUCAACCCGGGCCUUGCAGUGCGAACUGGAGUGCUUGAGUGCGCGGAAAGUAGGCGGAAUGCGUGGUGUAGCGGUGAAAUGCUUAGAUAUGACGAAGAACCCCGAUUGCGAAGGCAGCUUGCUGCAGCGGAACUGACGCUGAUGCUCGAAAGCGUGGGUAUCGAACAGGAUUAGAUACCCGGGUAGUC